rnacentral:rRNA from 1 species
UGCAGUCGUGCGACGGCUCGCCCCAAAAGGGCGGGUACGGAGCGGCAGACGGGUGAGUAACACGUAGCUAACCUGCCCGUCCGCCGGGGAUAACCCUCCGAAAGGGGGGCUAAUACCCGAUGGUCUUCCGGGGCGCAAGCCUGCGGAAGUAAAGGCGCUACGGCGCCGCGGGCGGAGGGGGCUGCGGCCCAUCAGCUUGUUGGUGGGGUAAUGGCCCACCAAGGCGAUGACGGGUAGGGGGCCUGAGAGGGUGGCCCCCCACACGGGGACUGGGACACGGCCCCGACUCCUACGGGAGGCAGCAGUGGGGAAUCUUGGGCAAUGCCCGCAAGGGUGACCCAGCGACGCCGCGUGCGGGAAGAAGCCCUUCGGGGUGUAAACCGCUUUUCCGGGGGAAGAAUAAGGCGGGGAGGGAAUGCCCCGCCGAUGACGGUACCCCAGGAAUAAGGGACGGCUAACUACGUGCCAGCAGCCGCGGUAAGACGUAGGUCCCGAGCGUUGCCCGGAUUUACUGGGCGUAAAGUGCGCGUAGGCGGUUCGGCAAGUCGUCCGUGAAAGCCCGGGGCUCAACCCCGGGAGGCCGGGCGAGACUGCCGGGCUAGAGGACGGCAGAGGAGGGUGGAGCGGCCGGAGUAGCGGUGAAAUGCGUAGAUACCGGCCGAAAUCCCGAUGGCGAAGGCAACCCUCUGGGCCGGU